CCCAGUGUGACAAGGGUCUAACCUUACCAACCCCCAGAGCAACAGCGGUAAGGAAAAACUCCCUCUGAGGAAGAAACCUCAAGCAGACCAGACUCAAAGGGGUGACCCUCUGCUUGGGGCAUGCCACAAACAUAAAUUAGAGUCCAAACAA